UUUUCUUUCACCGGAGCUUGCUCCACCGAAAGAAAAAGAGUGGCGAACGGGUGAGUAACACGUGGGUAACCUGCCCAUCAGAAGGGGAUAACACUUGGAAACAGGUGCUAAUACCGUAUAACACUAUUUUCCGCAUGGAAGAAAGUUGAAAGGCGCUUUUGCGUCACUGAUGGAUGGACCCGCGGUGCAUUAGCUAGUUGGUGAGGUAACGGCUCACCAAGGCCACGAUGCAUAGCCGACCUGAGAGGGUGAUCGGCCACACUGGGACUGAGACACGGCCCAGACUCCUACGGGAGGCAGCAGUAGGGAAUCUUCGGCAAUGGACGAAAGUCUGACCGAGCAACGCCGCGUGAGUGAAGAAGGUUUUCGGAUCGUAAAACUCUGUUGUUAGAGAAGAACAAGGAUGAGAGUAGAACGUUCAUCCCUUGACGGUAUCUAACCAGAAAGCCACGGCUAACUACGUGCCAGCAGCCGCGGUAAUACGUAGGUGGCAAGCGUUGUCCGGAUUUAUUGGGCGUAAAGCGAGCGCAGGCGGUUUCUUAAGUCUGAUGUGAAAGCCCCCGGCUCAACCGGGGAGGGUCAUUGGAAACUGGGAGACUUGAGUGCAGAAGAGGAGAGUGGAAUUCCAUGUGUAGCGGUGAAAUGCGUAGAUAUAUGGAGGAACACCAGUGGCGAAGGCG
rnacentral:rRNA from 1 species